rnacentral:rRNA from 1 species
GUCACUGCUAUUGGGAUUCGACUAAGCCAUGCGAGUCGAGAGGGUUCGGCCCUCGGCUGACGGCUCAGUAACACGUAGAUAAUCUGCCCUAGGGUGGGGGAUACCCUCGGGAAACUGAGAAUAAUACCCCAUAAGUCUAGGAUGCUGGAAUGCACUUAGGCUAAAAACUUCGGUGCCCUAGGAUGAGUCUGCGGACUAUCAGGUUGUAGUCAGGGUAAUGACCUGACUAGCCUACGACGGAUAUGGGUUGUGAGAGCAAUAACCCAGAGAUGAUAUCUGAGACACGAUAUCAGGCCCUACGGGGCGCAGCAGGCGCGAAAACUUCACACUGCGCGAAAGCGCGAUGAGGGAAUCCCAAGUGCUUGCACGUAAGUGUAAGCUGUUUCUUUGUUUAAAACGCAUUGAGAGUAAGGGCUGGGUAAGACGGGUGCCAGCCGCCGCGGUAAUACCUGCAGCUCAAGUGGUGGCCGCUAUUAUUGGGCCUAAAACGUCCGUAGCCGGUUUAUUAAAUGCCUGGGUAAAUCGUGUAGCUCAACUAUACGAAUUCCGGGUAGACUGAUAGACUUGAGACCGGGAGAAGUUAGAGGUACUCCUGGGGUAGAGGUGAAAUUCUGUAAUCCUAGGGGGACCACCAGUGGCGAAGGCGUCUGACUAGAACGGGUCUGACGGUGAGGGACGAAGCCCUGGGGCGCAAACCGGAUUAGAUACCCGGGUAGUCCAGGGUGUAAACGCUGCUUGCUUGAUGUUAGUCGGGCUCCGAGCCCGAUUAGUGUCGGAGAGAAGUUGUUAAGCAAGCUGCCUGGGAAGUACGGUCGCAAGACUGAAACUUAA